GGCUGGUCCGAAGGUAGUGAGUUAUCUCAAUUGAUUGUUCACAGUCAGUACAGAUUGAACUCCUUGUUCUACUCUUUCACCCUUCUCACUACUGUACUUGACUAGUCUUAA
ensembl:misc_RNA Y_RNA Y RNA